GAGACGUGACCUGACAUUCAAAAUGAAACACUAAGACUGAAACGAAUAAUCCACCACUUGUGAUUUACUUUUUCAGUAUUUUUUUUUAAAAGCCAGUUCUCUGCUCUUUGAUCUGCUGCCUUGGGAUUUCUGAGUGCUUUAUCUUUCCAUGUGACAGUCACCUGCCAAUGAUGAUUUCGGAAAUGAGCAUUUCUCUACGAGUAGGAAAGACAGGCGGCUUGAACUCACAAGAAAGAAGUCAUAAAGUAUAUUACUCUCUAUAAAAAAUGGAAGACCUAGUUAUAGAAAAGACACCAUUUUUGUGCCUUUCACUUGUUACCUUUCCCUGCUUCAGUAAAAGUUUCAGGUUGUCUUCUGACUGGAAAACAAAGAGUCAAAAAGUCCUG